CGGGGUCUCCUGGGUGGGAGAGGGGGGGCUGGGGGCGAUCGUGCCGGGCAACAAAGCUCCGCUGAUCUCAUCUGCUGCCUACGCAAAAUCUUGUUCUCGUUCCCCAAGGAUCCAGGAUUAGAGCAGAAUCAUCGCAGAUCUCGCUCCCGCCCAGACGACCAUGGGUAAGAUGGGAGGUUCCUGGGGUGCGAGCCUGGGUACUGAGUGGGGCACAGGAACCCUGGGGUUCGCCCCUGCUCCCCUCUCCUCCCGGAGGGCUGAAGCAGAGCUGCUGCUGCCUCUGGGACCCUGCCCUGCCCCGCACAGGGCACGGGGCUCCAGCUGAGAGGGGCUUUAUUGCCCACACUGCUGCCCUUCUGCCCUUUUCCUUCUUAGGUACACGGGUAGUCGCCGUUGCCAUCAUCACUCUGCUCAUCACUGGAUCUACAAUUGGAGGAGCAGCAGCAAAGGAUCGCAAAUCUGAGAACUGAGGAGACCCUCAGUGGGGUGCAGCCUUCCAGGUGCUACCACAGCCCAAACCAAUGAGCCUCGAUUGCAUCCUGGAGCAUCCCAUCACCCACAAAGGGCAGCCACCCCCAAAACACCAUCCUGAGCAUCCUCCACAAAUGAAGGGCGCUGGGUCUGACACAUGCAUGGAUUGGCCAUGGGUGUGAACACGAGGAGCUCCGUGCUCAGUGGUGGCUGUGAGCGCAGGGGCCAUCUAAGCAGUACAGGACACAGACUGGGCUGACACGUGCCCUGUGUCCUGUGCUGUUCAAGGUAGGUGGGUGUG
rnacentral:lncRNA from 1 species